AGCGCAGUUCCACUGAGACCAGCCAUGGAAGGGUCUUGCUGUGUUGCUCGGGCUGGUCUUGAACUCCUGGGCUCAAACAGUCCUCCUGCCUCAGCCUCCCAACGUGCUGGGAUUACGGGAGCAAGCCACCCCACUGUGUGCAGCCCAGAAGUUGAGCCUGAGAGGCACUGUGAGCAGCAGUUGCUAUCACACGGGCGGAUCAGAACAUGAAGAAUGGAGCUAAAUAGAGCUGUCUGCAUGCUGUUCUGAUGGGCUCAGGCUCAGCCUCAGAGAAUAGGUGGAUUGGAGCCUGUGAUGGGGGCUCUUUCCCCCACCAGAGUGGGUGAAAGCAGGGAGGA
rnacentral:sRNA from 1 species